GAUGUAUCUCCCUCCGUUCGAAAAUACUUGUCAUCAAAAUGGAUAAAAAAAAAUGUAUCUAGAACUAAAAUACAUCUAGAUACAUCCCAUUUUAUUUAUUUUGAUGACAAGUAUUUCCGGACGGAAGGAGUACACG
rfam:Triticum aestivum genome assembly, contig: Triticum_aestivum_CS42_TGACv1_scaffold_031346_1BL